CCGGGCUUGGUUGGCGUUGAUCGUGGAGUGUCAGCGUAAAGGUGGCAAGGAACCGGAGUUGGAGACGUCGGCUGUGCUGCCAUUUGGUCUGCAUUGACCAAAGAAAUGCCAAGAAGAAAGGCACGCCCAAGAGGGCCCCUAGGGAGGAAAAAGCUGAAGAGAAGUGUGGAGGAGAUUUUUUUCGUGGAAAAAAUCCUCGAGUAUUCUGCGGAUGAAGACAAGUACCGAGUAAAAUGGCAAGGCUCGUCAGAAAUCACAUGGGAACCAUCCUGCAAUUUCCAUCCUGACCUUCUCCGCUCAUAUCAUAGCGGUAAGUGGUACAAUGAAAAAUAAGAUAGAUGAGUCAUGCCAUACAGUGCGAUUCGCUUAUUGUCUUAUAGCAAGUAAUGGUUGAGAGCGUUAUGGAGGGCGGUGUUGUCGAGCAGGCCGACUGUACAAUAAGUACAUACUGUCCCCAGUCCCCAGUACAUACCGUUCGAAAAUU